rnacentral:rRNA from 1 species
AUACGGAGGAUGCAAGCGUUAUCCGGAUUUAUUGGGUUUAAAGGGUGCGUAGGCGGAUGAUUAAGCGUGAGGUGAAAUGCCACUGCUCAACAGUGGAACUGCCUCGCGAACUGGUUGUCUUGAAUGCUCCUGCCGUGGGAGGAAUGUGUGGUGUAGCGGUGAAAUGCAUAGAGAUCACACAGAACACCGAUUGCGAAGGCAUCUCACGAAGGGGUGAUUGACGCUGAGGCACGAAAGCGUUGGGAUCAAACAGGAUUAGAUACCCUGGUAGUCCACGCAGUAAACGAUGAUAACUAACCGCUGGGUCGUAGUGAUUCAGUGGCCAAGCGAAAGCGAUAAGUUAUCCACCUGGGGAGUACGACCGCAAGGUUGAAACUCAAAUGAAUUGACGGGG